GUAAUGCUCAUAACUUCCCUCUAGACCUAGCUGCUGUCGAAGUUCCAUCUACAAAUGGAUAAGACUUUGUUCUUAGGAUAAGUGUAGGCGAUUUUUUGAUUGGAAAGUAAAGGAUCAAUAACCAACACUCUUGAUAGAAUAAGAAAUUGGUUAUUGUUCCUUUACUUAUUGCUCUUUUAUUUACAUAAGUUUUUUUUACUUCAGCAUAAGAAAAAGUAUUCUAGUCUUAGGGAUUGGUUUCUGAUUACGUAUAAUACUUUUUUCCUUAGAUGCUCAUUUUUUUAUAAUUUAUAUACAUUCUUUUCAACCCUUUGUAAGGCUUUGUGAAAUUAUUAUUUUAUCUUCUAGUUUUUUUUAUGUAAUAUAAAUACUAGUAAUAGUGGGGGCGGAUGUAGCCAAGUGGAUCAAGGCAGUGGAUUGUGAAUCCACCAUGCGCGCC
rnacentral:misc_RNA from 1 species